rnacentral:rRNA from 1 species
AGUGAACGCUGGCGGUAGGCCUAACACAUGCAAGUCGAACGGCAGCACAGUAAGAGCUUGCUCUUACGGGUGGCGAGUGGCGGACGGGUGAGGAAUACAUCGGAAUCUACUUUUUCGUGGGGGAUACGUAGGGAAACUUACGCUAAUACCGCAUACGACCUACGGGUGAAAGCAGGGGAUCUUCGGACCUUGCGCGAUUGAAUGAGCCGAUGUCGGAUUAGCUAGUUGGCGGGGUAAAGGCCCACCAAGGCGACGAUCCGUAGCUGGUCUGAGAGGAUGAUCAGCCACACUGGAACUGAGACACGGUCCAGACUCCUACGGGAGGCAGCAGUGGGGAAUAUUGGACAAUGGGCGCAAGCCUGAUCCAGCCAUACCGCGUGGGUGAAGAAGGCCUUCGGGUUGUAAGGCCCUUUUGUUGGGAAAGAAAAGCAGCAGGUUAAUACCCCGCUGUUCUGACGGUACCCAAAGAAUAAGCACCGGCUAACUUCGUG